rnacentral:rRNA from 1 species
AACGAACGCUGGCGGCAGGCUUAACACAUGCAAGUCGAGCGCCCCGCAAGGGGAGCGGCAGACGGGUGAGUAACGCGUGGGAACAUACCCUUUGGUUCGGAAUAACUCAGGGAAACUUGAGCUAAUACCGGAUACGUCCGUAAGGAGAAAGAUUUAUCGCCAAAGGAUUGGCCCGCGUCCGAUUAGCUAGUUGGUGAGGUAACGGCUCACCAAGGCUACGAUCGGUAGCUGGUCUGAGAGGAUGAUCAGCCACAUUGGGACUGAGACACGGCCCAAACUCCUACGGGAGGCAGCAGUGGGGAAUAUUGCGCAAUGGGCGAAAGCCUGACGCAGCGACGCCGCGUGGGUGAUGAAGGCCUGGUCGUAAGCCUGUCGCAGGGAGAAGUAAGACAUCGGUAUAAUACGCCGGU